UACGUGGAGGGGCUAGCGUUGUCCGGAUUUAUUGGGCGUAAAGCGCACGUAGGCGGCUUUGUAAGUUAGAGGUGAAAGCCCGGGGCUCAACCCCGGAAUUGCCUUUAAGACUGCAUCGCUAGAAUUGUGGAGAGGUAAGUGGAAUUCCGAGUGUAGAGGUGAAAUUCGUAGAUAUUCGGAAGAACACCAGUGGCGAAGGCGACUUACUGGACACAUAUUGACGCUGAGGUGCGAAAGCGUGGGGAGCAAACAGG
rnacentral:rRNA from 1 species